CUCUCACUCGCAUAGGUUACUGAAGAACCCUCACACGCAUAGGUUACUGAAGAACUCUCACACACAUAGGUUACUGAAGAACUAUCACACGCAUAGGUUACUGAAGAACUCUUACACGCAUAGGUUUCU